rnacentral:rRNA from 1 species
CAGCCGCCGCGGUAAUACGUAGGUGGCAAGCGUUGUCCGGAAUUAUUGGGCGUAAAGGGCUCGCAGGCGGUUUCUUAAGUCUGAUGUGAAAGCCCCCGGCUCAACCGGGGAGGGUCAUUGGAAACUGGGAAACUUGAGUGCAGAAGAGGAGAGUGGAAUUCCACGUGUAGCGGUGAAAUGCGUAGAGAUGUGGAGGAACACCAGUGGCGAAGGCGACUCUCUGGUCUGUAACUGACGCUGAGGAGCGAAAGCGUGGGGAGCGAACAGGAUUAGAUACCCGAGUAGUCCCUGUCUCUUAUAU